GGCUGGGGACCGGAGGAUGGAGGGAUGUCAUGUCGCUGCGUUGCAACGUUACAGGCCUGGAAAAGGUAACCGGAUUUGAUUGUUUUUAUCGGUUUAUUUACUCGGAUAUUGAUCAGUUUAUCACCGCUGUAAGUGUUGAUUUGUCUUUUUAUAAAUCACCAUUAAAAUCUGAAGAGGAUUCUUUACUUAAUUCAUACAAAGAAAGACUAAAAAAAAAACACGUUUAAACAUAAUUUCUUAUGAACUCCACGUCAAAUAAAUGCGUAAAAAUAAGAAAUUAAACGUUUCCACUCCAUCUUUUGCUUUUUUUUUCUCCUUUAAAUGCAAACAGAUCCGUUCGUCUCCAGAGUGUGAGCUGUUUGCCUCAGAUAAACUUAUCGAUUAGACAUCAGUCAGAUUCCUGGCCGGCUCUUAUUGAGUAACUUGGUGAACCUUAAAGUGAAUUACAGGAACUGCUCUGCCCCUCCGGUGAACUAUUUAAGCCCAAUCGGAUUUUCUUUGAUAAAGACCAUCUAUUUUAUUUACUCUGAUCGCCAUUUUCAUCGAGGGGAUUAUUGUGAGGGCGAGUUUGUGCAGGUUUUGGAGAGGAGAACGAGUUCCUGUGGCGCGUAAAUCAUUUCAAAUCCUUCCAAAUUAAAAUCAUUUAAUUCAGAAAUAAAUCGAGACUUGGAGUAUUAUAUUCUUGUUGUUGUUCAUUUUAAUUCACCGUUUAAUUUUGCAGCUGAUGUUUAGUCAGUUAUGAAACAAAACGUGUGCCAUCACUGAUUCAAUAUGCAUUUCUCCUUUUUUUUCUGCAGGUGUCGAAAUAAAAAUCAACAAUUUCACCUAAAGUGCAGCUUCCAGAGGAUGCACCACUGAAGGAUGCAUAUUCUCCACUUUAGGGUUUCUGCACCAAUCUCUCACCUUUGCGCAAAAAUUUCCCUUCGUGUAAAUCAAUAGUGGCGUUUUUCUUCACAGGUGCAGUAAAUUAUACAUGUACAAUCUCAAAAAAAGGCGUUUCAAGUGCAAUAGAAAAUGCAUGUUUUGACGCUGCAUGCAAAGAUUUAGGGACUAUUUACGUUCUUGCUGUUUGCUUUGGUUUGAGGACAAAACCUCUGCAUUUGUUUCUGCUCCAGGUUUGUGCAAACUGCUCGAGGCCUAUUCAAAUAUAAGUAGGCAAGUGAGGAAAUGAGAAAGUCAAUAGAUCCUUGCAGAAAAGUACAAAAACAAACAAAACUGUCCGUGUAUUUAUCCUCCUUGUCCAUCCCUGACUCCUCAGUCCAAACCCCGGGCUGCUCCUGCUGCUGCUGCUGCUUGGAGAGAGCUCAUAUUAUUGGGCUACACAUGCGUCGUAUUGAAGUGUAAUUGGCCGUAUCAUUGGCUUUUGUCUUGUUUACAAAGCGGCCAACAGAAGCGCUAAUUUAAUUUCCUCCGCCGCAUUGAGGAGCCACCAGCCGCCUGUCAGGGCCGGGCUCUGCCUCUCCUGCCCCGGGCAGAGCAGGAGUCUGGCCCCGGGCGAUCCUGGAGAGGGACGAGGGUAGAGGAGGAGGAGGAGGAGGAGGGUGACAUCUGCCUCCAAAUAAAAGCCCCCAUGAAAAGACAACCUCUGCUCUCAUAUGGGUCAGCUGACAGAAUUCAUACACAUUAAAAGUUAGCUAUCCCUUUAAUGCCUGAAACCACGAAUUAUGGCCAGAAAAUUCACAUUUUUGUGGAGCUGAAAUGUUUAUUUCACCUACUACUGAAAACCAAAAUUAUCAAAAUGUUCUUAAAAUUUCAAUUUCAAAGUGCCUGACAGAGACUAAAAACAACAAUUAACAACAAUAAAACACAAACCUCCCACCCACACACACGGACUCACACACACACAAAGACAGAGUGUGAGAAUUUAAGAUAUAUCGUUAAAGAGACAUGGCCUGACAGCGAGGAAAGAGCUACCUUUGGGAAACACUGGAGAUAAAAGAUAAAAAAUAAAAAAAUGGUAAAAGGAAAGAGUAAAACCUGAUGGACUAAAACAAGAAAAUAAUAUUAAACGAACAGAUGAGUAAGGGGUAAAAGAAGUAAAAACCUCUAAAGCAGGAGUUAAAAAAAGACUAAGAACAGAGAUGAUUAAUUAAAUGACAUUGAUUAAAAUGAACAUUUGCAAUUAGAGGAAUAUAAAAAGUCAGUUAGUAAAAAGCCUGGUUUAAUAAAAAGGUGAGUCUUGAGCCUCUUUUUAAAAUUUAACAAAUAUAUUUAUUUAUCUCGUUUGAUACAUUAGAUGUUUUUGGAAACUGAUUAACUACAAGAGGACAUUUUUAUUAUUCAUCAGACUGUAUUCAGGUGGUUUUUUUAGUAAUUAGUUGAUCAUAGUGAUUUGACAGAAGUAUAUAACAGUAUGUAUCAAAUAUGACACAAAAGGCAUUAAAGGGUUAAAAAGUUAAAUUCCGUUAAAGAAAACUGGAAGAGUUUAUUUUAGGAGCAUCUUCGUCAAAUUUCUUCUAAAUACCUUAAUUUGUUUUCAUUGAAACAAAAAAAAAAAUCCAGUUUAUUUUUCUGCAUAUGUUUAAAUUCUGACUACAAAACUGCAAUAACUUCAUAUAUUUUCAUCAUUUAUCAGAGCUCAGUCCAGGUUUGUUUCUUCCUGUUAGUUAGUAAGAUUAAAAAAUAAAUAAAUAAAUGGUAACACUUUACUUGACGCCUAUCUCUAUAACACAUUAUAAAUAUAUGUAUAAUGCAUUAUAACGUGUUACGACUGUUAACAACUCACUGACAAUGUCCACAUAGAUAAUGCAUUAUACAUAUAUUUAUGAUGUGUUAUACUUUCUUUAUAAACUUGCAUAACUAUCAUCGUAAACACCCAUUAAUUAUCAUAAGGCUUUAUAACUAUAAGCAUAACACAUUAUAAUACCUGACCUUGUAAGUCAUGAUAAAAUGCUUUAUAAUGUGUUAUAAUCAUUGCUAUAAAGUAUUAUGAUCAUUUAUUAGUGUUUAUAUCUAUAGUUAUACAUUGCUAUGAUGUGAUUAUAAUGUAUUAUACAUAUAUUUAUAAUGUGUUAUAGAGAUAGGCGUCAAGUAAAGUGUUACCCAAAUUUUGAUUAUCAUUCUUUCUGUUGUUUGGAAAACAGCUCAGACGCUGUAGUGAUAAUAAGCCAUUAUAAACUGCUUUGAGAGUCCUCCAGAGCUGGAUUCAUUGAUCAUGUUUAUGUGGCUACAUUAGGCCUGAUGGAUUAACCGAAUAUGAGGAGAAAAAGGAAGAAGAAGAAGAAGAAGAGGAGGAUGGACAAAAGUCGAUUUUUGAAACACUCGCAGUUUAUAAUGAUGAUCACCGACUGGAGCCUGUUUGCCUUUUCAUUAACGGAUAGUCCAUUUAAAACACAAGAAGAAAAUGAUCGCAAAUUAUUGGUCAAGUGGAGGCCAUGAAGUACUCCAGGAGUAUAAAGAAAAAAACAGCAACUAAAGUCAAAUUUUUCAUUUUUUUAUUUUGUUGGUUUAUUUUUUAUUUUUUUUAUUUUGGAGCACAUGAUUUCAUUAUCUUGUUGUAACAAGUUUUUAUCUAGUGUACACAUCCUGUUUUCCAUGCACCAGUCUUAAUCUUGCGCGCUAAAAUAAUUCUUUUGAGGGAACAAGAAAAUGUUGAUAUCUUACAAGUACAAGAUAAUAAAUUGUGGACAUAAGAUGAUUAUUUUACGAGUUCAUUCUCUUGUGCACCGCAUAUAUUAUCUUGCAACUUCUUAAUUAUCUUGUUACCAUGCUACAACUAUCUUGUGAAAACAAGUUUUUAUCUUUUAGCAACAUCUUUUGGAGAAAAAAAAAAAUUAUCUAUAGUAUCUGCUGCCAAAAUCAACGUAAUAUCUUGUGCCCCCAAGAUAAAACAUCGUACACACAAGAUACUUGUUCUGUGUACAAAUACAUUUAUUAUCCUGCGCGCUCACUUUUAUAUUGUGAGUUAAUAAUGUGUGGGCAAAAUGUAGUAAUCUGCUUCUGCAGUACGUUGAUCUUGUGCGCUCAAGUUAAUAUCUUGUGUGCACAAGUAAUCUUGUUUGAACAAAUGAUAGUACUGUGUGCACAAUGCGUUUAUCUUAAAGAAAAAGUGAUUAUCUUGUGUGCACAACAUGCUGUUUUGUAGGAACAAGUUAAUAUCUUGUGCAAAUAAUUGAUUAUCUUGUUAGAAACAGUUAUCCUGUGUGCAUUAUAUUAUUAUCUUGUAGGAACAGGUGAAUAUCUUGUGUGCACAGUGCAUUCAUCUUGUGGGAGGAAGUUAAUAUCUUGUGCGCAAAAUUAGUUAUCUUGUUGGAAAAAGUUAUCCUGUGCGCAUGAUAUCAUUAUCUUGUGGGGACAUGUUAGUAUCUUGUGUGGUUACUUGCCAUAUUGUGGGAACAAGAUUAUCCUGUGUGCACAAUGUGUCUAACUUGCAGGAAUGAAUUACAACUCUUUGUAUUUAUUUUGUUGCGGCAGGUUAAUCUCUUGUACAAGUUAUCCUGUUUGCACAAUCUUGAGAGAGCUAGGUUUUCUCUUCUGCAUAUAACACAUUUGUUUCAUGUACACAAGAUAAUAACUAGAUCGCACAAGAUCGUCAUUUUACGAGAACAAGAUACAAUAAUUUCUACUAAGAGGCAGUAACCUUUUUAAAGUCACACUCUGCAGUUUUUAGGCCGUUUUAUUCCUUGAUUGAGAAAAUGAAAAUCUCCUUUCUAAUCUGGAUCCUUGCAGAAAUUAAAUAAUGAGUGAAUGUAUUUCAAACAUGAAGGAAAAGGGCUUUUUUUUUUAAAUUAACUCUUUGUUGACAGUGUACACAGCCGAGGAAGAAUGAAACACGCUCAGCUGCAUGUCCAUCUGUGUGUGUGUGUGUGUGUGUGUGUGUGUGUGUGUGUGUGUGUGUGUGUGUGUGUGUGUGUGUGUGUGUUUGCCAGACCAGAGCACAGAUAGAGAGAAAGAGAUGGCACAUUAGGCCUGAGGGUGCAUCAUUAUUAGACAGCCUGGCUUCCCUCCCUCUCCCCCUCUCUCUCUCUCUCUUUCUCUCUCUUUCUCUCUCGUCCAAUCACAGGAGCUGUUGCAGGACAAACAGAGCCUCGCUGAAUGUUGCACAGCAGCAGCAGCAGCUUCCGUGCGGGCUCAGCUCAGUUCCUGCUCUCUAAUUACGCCAUGAUACAAUGCAAUAUUCCUCUGCAAAUAUUCCCACAUAAAUUCAUUUCACAACCCAUUAAAGAUACAGCGGGUGAGAUCAUUUACAUCGCCGCGUCCCAGUACGAUACAGCGUGCAGCCGGCUUUUACAACACCGCCAAAUGCGCCAAGUCCCCUCGGUUGUACAGCAACCUGGUAGGCAUUAACUCAACAUAAUGUCUCACAAAUUAAAGUAUUGCUGGGGCUACCACUGCGGCAUCAGAUAAAUGUGCUCUAUUAGGAGGCCUCAUGCUGUGAGCAAAACAAUUGAUUGCUUGUUUGUGUUUUCAUAUGGCGUCGGUGAAACAUGCAGAGUGAUGGAUGAGGGCCCGCCAUCUCAAGUUGCACUUAGUCAAUCGCUGCCGGUGCUCUCCUCAGCUCAAAACGAAGACUCAGACAGUAAACGUGCACGCGCUUUUAUUUUUUUUAACCAAGUUUGGAGGCAGGAGACGGUGCGGGGAGGCUGAUGGGGGUUGAAUCUGGGCCAAAAAAGGCAGAUGUCGUGGAAGACACACACUGCAAGGUGUUAACUGCAAUCUUGCUCACACUGCAGGAUGUCAUGUUCAGUUUAUUAAUGCUGCCUGAGUAAGAAUUUUAUUUUGUUAGUUUAUCUCAGUUUCUGAGUCUUACUAUGAUGAAGAGUCACUGGAGGUUCAUCUCUGUUUGACAGAUUCAGCUGUACCCCCUGUAUAGAGCUAACAGGAGUCCAAAUAAAGUGGGAAAAGUGUUUUUUUUAACAUAUUUGUCGCCACAAUCUAGUGAGAAUUAACCAUCUAUAGAUAAAUAGACCAUUUGGAGAACAAGGGAGGCGGGUCUGUGUAUUAUCCAUCCAUUCAAUUAUUCCAUUCAAUCUAGUAAACGAAAGAAACGAGUCAAUAUUUUGUUCAUUUGUUUUUCUAUGUUGCUACAGGACUCCUGCGUCUCCUCUUAUCUUCUGUAUCUUCGGGUCAUGAGCAGAAUCAGUGUUGUGACUUUCAAUCUGUGAUCCAGUAAUGAAUACCUGCUUGAAGCUGUAAUCAUCCACUUAAACCAUUUGGAUUCAGCAGCUCAACCUUGUAAUGGGAUUAUUUCCUUUUUCCACUGGACUGCUCUGCCUUUAAACUGGGUUAGUUUGGAGAUAAUUUAGUAAGUACAUUGAGUAAUUUGACCAUUAUUGUUGUUAUCAGCUGCAGACAUGAAGGGUUGGUUCAAUAUCAGGAAGUUUACGAAUGAGAAAAUAAAAAACAAAACUGUGAUAAUAAUGUAAAACACUGACCUUUUCAAUGUUAAAUAAAGAUUACUGG